rnacentral:rRNA from 1 species
UCAAAAACUUAGUCUCAGUUCGGAUUGUAGGCUGAAACUCGCCUACAUGAAGCUGGAGUUGCUAGUAAUCGCGAAUCAGCAUGUCGCGGUGAAUACGUUCCCGGGCCUUGUACACACCGCCCGUCACACCAUGAGAGUUGGCAAUACCCAACGUACGUGAUCUAACCCGCAAGGGAGGAAGCGUCCUAAGGUAGGGUCAGCGAUUGGGGUGAAGUCGUAACAAGGUAUC